AGCAUUCUGCUAGCAACCUUCAGAUGAAGAUGUAGAACUCUCAGCUCCUCCUGAACCAUGCCUACCUGGACCCUGCCAUGCUCCUACCUUGAUAAUAAUGGACUGAACCUCUGAACCUGGAAUGACUUUAUUGAAGUAUGUGUGGCCUUGUUGGAGGAAGUGUGUCACUGUGGCACGGUAGGCUUUGAGGUCUGCUAUGCUCAAGCUAUGCCCAGUAUGGCAGGCACUCCGUUUCCUUCUGCUGCCUGUGGAUCAAGAUGUAGAACUCUUAGCUUCUUCUCCAGCACCACGUUUGCCUGCACACUGCACUGCUUCCUGCUGUGAUGAUAAUGGACUAAACUUCUGAAAAUCUUUAUUUAACUGUUGCAGAUCAUCCCACGGACCAAAUGGUGGAUGUCCGGGACCUUGCAAGCAAGUUUCGUGCAUCUCGAGACUGCUUUCCAACUCCAGUAGACUGAGCACCUCACCCUCUCCUGCCACACUGAACCUUUAGAGUUACAGAAAACAUAACGUUUGAUGCCGUCCAUGAAUUCUAGGCACAGGUGUUCUCACUGUCCCUGUGAACCAGUCUGGUACAGCACUUUGGCUACCCUGGUCAACUUGAUAAGCUGCCAGCAACUCCUGUCCAUCCUAGCAACUGUCUGGUGGAGACUAUUACUUGUUUCUCUAAGAGGAGAUGGGUGACUGAGCCUAGCUUGUUGGGUUUUUGGGGUUUUUUUUUUUUUUUUUUUUUUUUUUUGGUUUUUUACCUUAUAACCGCUGUCAACACUAUUUGCUGACUCUGCAGAAAAGCCAUGUUUGAGAAAACACACCUCAGAUGCAGAAGACAGACUGAAGGGUCCCAUACAGAUACAGAAAUCACCUUAUCCCACAGCCUUUUUCUAGACAGCAUCACCUGCUCUCCACCACUAUUCAGUAAGGCAGAGAAACGAGUCUGUGGACUCUACACACCCUCAAGUCCAACCCUUUGUAAGAACACCCUGGUAGGCAUAACUGGGGCCUUAGCCUGCUUUCUCCGUGUCAGUUUGGUGGGUCUUUUAAGCUAUAUGGGUCUUUCUUAAGCUAAUUUGAGUUUCUACACUUUGUCUGACAGUAAGAAUGACUCCUUGUCUUGUACGUGUAUGAACCCGAGUAUCUUGAAGAUUAUUUUUGGACUACAUUAAUAAACAGAUACUGUUGCCUGUC
ensembl:lincRNA Gm10522 predicted gene 10522